rnacentral:rRNA from 1 species
UACGUAGGGUGCAAGCGUUAAUCGGAAUCACUGGGCUUAAAGCGUGCGUAGGCGGCUCAGAAAGUUGGGUGUGAAAUGCCUCAGCUCAACCGAGGAAUUGCGCUCAAAACUACUGAGCUCGAGGGAGUUAGAGGAGGGCGGAACUCACAGUGGAGCGGUGAAAUGCGUUGAUAUUGUGAGGAACACCGGUGGCGAAAGCGGCCCUCUGGGGCUCUUCUGACGCUGAGGCACGAAAGCUAGGGGAGCAAACGGGAUUAGAUACCCGAGUAGU